GUGAAAGAACUUUACAGUAAAGAAGAUCUGUUGGCUCAACCUGAUCAGAGAACUUUCUGGACUAAUGAUGACUCAGCUUCUUUCAGUGCAGGCUACACUGUUGCAGCAGCACAUGGAAUAUGCAUUGCCUUCUUCAGUUACAAGAAUUAAAGAUGCGUGGCGAUAACAUUGCCAGUGAUUUAAUAACGGCACUUAUCCUAUCCUUGUCCUAUGGCUGUAGUACUGCUGCGGUUACAUUUUCCCACUAACCAGCUUGUCUUCAACGGAUCUGUGCUAAUUGAUGUGUGCACAGCUAUUAUGCGUGUGUGUUGAUCCUUCUUAAUAAACACUGACUAAGGUA